UUACGACCAUAUCACGUUGAAACACCGCUUCCCGUACGAUCAGCGAAGUUAAGCAACGUCGAGCCUGCUCGGUACUAGAAGGGUGACAGCUUGGAAAUAACAGGAGUUGUAAG